UACAGAGGGUGCGAGCGUUAAUCGGAGUUACUGGGCGUAAAGGGCGCGUAGGCGGUAAUAUGAGUGUGGUGUGAAAGCCCCGGGCUUAACCUGGGAAGUGCAUCGCAAACGAUAUAACUAGAGUAGAUGAGAGGGUGGCGGAAUUUCCGGUGUAGCGGUGAAAUGCGUAGAGAUCGGAAGGAACGUCAAUGGCGAAGGCAGCCACCUGGCAUCAUACUGACGCUGAGGCGCGAAAGCGUGGGGAGCGAACAGG
rnacentral:rRNA from 1 species